rnacentral:lncRNA from 1 species
GCUGCAUUCUGCAUUUGAGGGGAAUAGGGGAACGGUUUUUGUUUUUAUCUGGAUCUGGACAUGAUCUGGACUGUGAUCUGGACUUUAUCUGGUUAUUGAUCAAGGUUAUUAUUUAUUAUCGUGGUUUUUUUGCUUAAUUUACCUGUUUUUAUAUAGUGCUAGGCUAGGUAUUAAUUUAUUUUAAAAGCUUAAAAAAAAUAAGAAAUGCCUGGGUGUGGGGUGGCUACUUUGGGCUACUUGCAACAACACAAAUCGGAAAACGAUUGGACAACAAACAAAUCGGAAACGUGGAUAAUUGCCUGCCGGCGAGACGAUAAAAUAAAUCUAAAAAAUGCUUGUGUCUACUCCAUACAUUUUGAUGCUGAGUGCUUUGAAAUUCCAAUAAAAUAAAGGUUGCUACGAUACAGUCCAAAAACUGGUAGCUACUUAAAACUUGACGCUGUGCCAGUAUUAAAUCUUCCUUCUUCAUCUCAUAAACCUAGGACUACUGCAAGAUCUGGUAGAAUUACUAAAAGAAGGCAAUAUAACACAGUGACGGAGAUAUUAAAGGAAUUAUUUGAGACUCAGCCUUUAACUUCAUAUGAAGAACCUUAUUUGUAAUCUUCAACUAAUAAAGAAAACCAAGCAUCUGGUAACCAAAUCUGCAUCUGGAAUUAACCAAAACAAAAGAGACUAGUCUUACUGUGAAAACCCCCAGCAGAAUUAAUAAUACUGAGUCAAAUGAACUUGAUCAGUUUAGAGACAAAAUUAAAAUGUUAGAGAAACAAAAUAAAGAGCUACAAGAACAGGUUAGGGUAAUGAAGUAUACUCUUCAGAAGUAUGAAAAUGCAUUAGGUAUAGUUUUUACACCAGGCCAAAUAAAAAAAUUGCUUCAUUUGGAGAAAGGAAUAAAAGUCCAUUGGUCACCAGAUGUAAAUAAAUUGUUAAAGUAGUUAGAUGAGUAUCCAUUUUCAUUUUAUAUUAUUACU